UCUAAAUAUUUUUGUGUUAUAGCUAGUUUGGACUACAAAAACAAGGUGCGCAGACAAUGUGCUGAAUAAAAACAAACACUCUUUUGCAGUCUGGCUGGCUUGGCUCAGUGCAGUGAAAGGUAGCUUUCCUUGGCUACGUCUUAUUUCCAUCUUUUAGCCUUUUAAAUAAUGGCUGCAACUAUAAAAUCUUCUUUUGGAAGUAUUAUAAAGAACCAGGGUAACACAUUUCGCAUUCUGUACCGUAAUCUUUCAUCAACAGCAACAUAUUAUCAGCAAAAUUUAGAAACUCAAGAAGGCCAGGACCAGCUUCAGAAACAAAAAUUAAGAAAUGAAGACGCUGGUAGCUUUACUGAGUUAGUGAGAGAUUUCCUUGAUCCUUCAGAAUUUCAUAGUGCAGUGCGUAAGCAAGGAAUUGAUUUUUUUUGUGGUGUUCCAGACUCUUUGCUCAAGGAUUACUGUGCUUAUGUGACUGCCACUGAGCCAAGUCAUAGUCAUGUCAUUACAGCAAAUGAAGGAUCGGCAGUUGCACUUGCUGCAGGCUACCAUUUGUCGUCAGGAAAAACUGGAAUGGUGUAUUUACAGAAUUCUGGUCUUGGCAACAUUGUCAAUCCUGUGAUGUCUUUAGCAUCUACAAGUGUUUAUAGUAUUCCUAUGUUAAUACUUUUGGGUUGGCGAGGUGAACCAGGCAAACGGGAUGAACCACAGCAUGUAACACAAGGAAAAGCUACUCCUGGACUCUUAGCUGCUUGUGGGAUCCCUUUUCAAGUUCUUCCUGAUUUUAUUGAGGGAGCUGAACAGGCAUUGUACACUGCGCGAAAACACAUGGAAGUGUCGAAAGGGCCGUACUGUUUACUUGUGAAAAGACAAACUUUUCUACCGUAUAAGUUUGAACAAACCCAAACAAGUUUCAGUGACUUACCCUUGAAUAGAGAAGGUGCGAUCCAGCACGUCGUGAAACAGUUACACGACCGAGAUGUUGUAGUCGGUACAACGGGCAUGUUAAGUCGAGAAUUAUUCGAGUUACGCGAAGGGAAUGGACAAGGUCACGAGAAAGAUUUCUUAACAGUUGGUAGUAUGGGACAUGCUUCAGCUAUUGCUCUUGGCGUAGCUAUGCAGAAGACGAGAAGAGAGGUUUUUUGUUUGGAUGGUGACGGAGCAGCCAUUAUGCAUUUGGGAAAUCUCUCCACGAUCGGUGCGUCUGGUUUGGUGAAUUACAAACACAUUGUUAUAAAUAAUGGCGCGCAUGAUUCGGUGGGUGGGCAGCCGACGGAUGCAAGAGAUGUUAAUACUUUCAAUAUAUGUAAUGUCGCCCUCAGUCUAGGAUAUAAACAGGCUCUUUCUGCAAGUACUCCUGAAGAGAUUGAAGAAAGUGUUUCAGCUAUGAGAACAAUGCAAGGGCCAGUUCUACUGGAAAUAAAAGUUCGAAGAGGUAGCCGUAAAGAUUUGGGACGACCAACAAGAUCACCGUUGCAGAACAAAGCAGACUUCAUGCAUUUUUUAGCCAUCGAAUAGAUGGACCGCUGUCACGGUAGCCGGGAAGCAAAGUUAAAAUGAAAUGGGACGUGUGAUUAAAAUAAAUAAGAAAUUGUUUUUGAUUUAAAGGUUACGAUACCUUGAACUUUUGUUACAAUUACAACACAGGUGAAAAAAGUUUAAAGACAAAAAGAAAACGCGAAGUUACAGAACACAGUAAUACUGAUACCCUACGAUCCAUCUCAAAAUCGUAGCGAAAAAAAUAAUCCCUAGCUUAGCUUAUCGUAUCGUGUAGUAUCGAUGUAUUGUCACACGAUAAUUCAAUAAUUUAAAACGGCAAA